rnacentral:rRNA from 1 species
UACGGAGGGUGCAAGCGUUAUCCGGAUUCACUGGGUUUAAAGGGUGCGUAGGUGGGCAGUUAAGUCAGUGGUGAAAUCUCCGGGCUCAACCCCGGAAACUGCCAUUGAUACUAUCUGUCUUGAAUAUCGUGGAGGUAAGCGGAAUAUGUCAUGUAGCGGUGAAAUGCUUAGAUAUGACAUAGAACACCAAUUGCGAAGGCAGCUUACUACCCGAAUAUUGACACUGAGGCACGAAAGCGUGGGGAUCAAACAGG